rnacentral:lncRNA from 1 species
UUCUCUUAAGCUCUAGUAGUUAAGAAACAUUAGUUGAAGAAAAUAAGAAACAUUAUACCUAGCUAUUAGAGUUUAAGAUGGCUUCAAAAACUUGUUCCUCCCUUGCCCUUUUCCUCACACUCAACCUCGUUUUCUUCUCACUUGUCUCUGCAUGCGGUUAUACACCAUGCCCUGGUCCAAACCCAAAGCCAAGGCCCAACCCCAACCCUAACCCUAACCCCAGCCCAAGUGGCUCGUGCCCCCGUGACGCACUCAAACUAGGUGUAUGUGCCAAUGUGCUAAACUUGGUGAACGCCACUUUGGGUCAACCACCAGUUACCCCUUGCUGCACCCUUCUCGAUGGUCUCGUUGACCUUGAAGCUGCAGUGUGCCUUUGCACUGCCCUCAAAGCAAACAUUUUGGGCAUCAACCUCAACCUUCCAAUCUCCCUUAGCUUGCUUCUCAAUGUUUGCUCAAGGAAAGCUCCACGUGAUUUCCAAUGUGCCUAAUCAUGGCCCAUGAGCAAGUUGCUACGUGCUUAUUCCUAGUUGUGGUUUUCCGUUGUUUUUUUUUUUUUUUGAAAUUCCAUUUAUCAUGGUGUGAUUCUUGUUCGUGCAUCAGUGCAUGGAUGGGUAAAUUCUCGUUAUAUUCUGCCGCUUUAUUGAUUGUUUUAUCAGGCAAAGUGUCACAUUAAAUAAAUUCCCAAUGCUUAAUUUCUUAUGUAAAGCAAAAGGAAUAAAAAAAUGAUAGUGUUAUUUAUAUGGCAGAUAAAUGGUUAAUGUUGCAAAUACAUUUUAAUAUUUAUUGAUGCCAUUUUGUUUUGUCUUUUCGGUGAAUGAGAGCAUCAGCUGAUCAGCAAAAUUACAUUGCUUUCUAACUUGUGUCCAAUGCGCAACUAGAGGAAAACUAAUUCAAGAAAAGAAUAAAAAUGAAAGUAAGCAUGCACAACACUGAGCCCGUGACGAUUGUACAAAGCACUCCACGUGCAUGCACUAUUAUUUCAUUUAAAAAAAAAGCUCAGAAUAAUUAGCUAUUUAAACCAAGAUACAUAUUAAAUUCUAUGGUACCACAGUAACACUUUUAGAGGUUUUGGAAAAUUUCAUAUUUGGACCAAUAGUUAUUAAGUUACUUAGUCAUCAAUUUACUAUAUGUGGUAAUGAAAUUGUUAUAUAUAUAUAUAUAUAUAUAUAUAUAUAUAUAUAUAUAUAUAUAUAUAUAAUUUAGUCCCUAAUUAAUUCAAAUAUUUUUUCUUUUAAAAUUAUUAUUUUUAAUUAUUUUAAUUAAAUAGAUAGAUCUGAUCAUUGACUCUGUAAAUCUUGAAGUUUUGGCAUUCAUGUGUCCUUCGACCUUAAAGAAGUGGAAAAAUAUCCAUGUUAAAUCUACUAUGGGGAAGGUUAAUUAAAAUUCAAUCCACAAUUGGUGACUCUAUCACUUACAAUGCUCUACCUUAUUCCAUGUUCCAAAAGAGCAUGUAAAAAAUCAUAUUUCCUCCAAUCUUAGUUAUAAGCAAAAAAGACAUUUUAUAUUUAUUAAAAAAAUUAACAAACUUUAUUAAAUUGUAUCAUUAAUUCCUAAUUAAAAAAUAAAUAUUUUUUCUAAACUAUUGGACUUUAUAUCAAAUAUAUAAAAAAAAUAAUCUUAUUAAAUGAAUAUAUUUUAGAGAGAAUCUUAUUAAAUAAGACAUAAAUAAUUCAAAUUUAAUAUUCUAAAUCCAAUGAAAUACUAAUUACUGUUCUUUACAAGCCUUCUGAAGUCCUUAGCUUGGUUCCUAAUCUAGAUCAGUCCCCCAGUUCAAGUGUAUGGAGAGGCCUAUGUCUUCCUCCUAACCCUCCUAUAUACUUUAGCCUUUAGAAGGGAUGUUCUGAUUAAUCGGGAUAUUCAUCGGUUGGUGUGAGUUGCGAUUGCAUCAAAAUCCCGUAGAUUGUGGGCUCUUACACAUCGAUGUAGGCCAAGUGUAGGUCUUUCUAUUGUGAGUGAUUUACCUCGGGACGAAUGAGGUGUGGCCCAAUGCGUAGUACUUCAAGCCACGAGUGGAGUAUAUAUGCACGAAGUGGCUUUGGUACACAACCCCUUAAGCCACAAGUGGAGUAUGCACAAAGUGGGUUUGUAGAGUUCGGGUUGACCGAGGUGUGGCACAAUACACAAUCCCUCAAGUCACAAGCUAGAGUGAAGUAUGCACUAAGUGAGUUUGCAGAGUACUAUCAAGAUUGAAAACUUGAAGGUACUUGAAACACACAUUGAAUUCUUAACAAAGUCAACGAUUAUAAAUCUUGCAAGAACACUCAUUGAAUUCUUUUGUAAAGAUAUAAAUGAAUGAAACACAAGUAAAAGUGUCAAAAAUAUCCCUGCUUAAUAUAAUAUAGAAACAAAAAAAAAAGACUAAUAAUACAUGAACCACGCCUAUUAUUACUACAAGAUUUUUUUUAAUGUUACACCCUAUAUUAACACCCAUCUUUUUCUCUAUCCCUCUCUUCUUCUCAUAUCAAAAUAUCUAUGAUACCUAUUAUCCCCCCCUCUCUUCUUCUCAUAUCAAAAUAUCUAUGAUACCUAUUUUACCAGAAAAAUACUUAUAUUUUUUUUAUAUUCAUGAAAUAAUCAAGNNNNNNNNNNNNNNNNNNNNNNNNNNNNNNNNNNNNNNNNNNNNNNNNNNNNNNNNNNNNNNNNNNNNNNNNNNNNNNNNNNNNNNNNNNNNNNNNNNNNAUAUAUAUAUAUAUAUAUAUAUAUAUAUAUAUAUAUAUAUAUAUAUAUAUAUAUAUAUAUAUAUAUAUAUAUAUAUAUAUAUAUAUAUAUAUAUAUAUAUAUAUAUAUAUAUAUAUAUAUAUAUAUAUAUAUAUAUAUAUAUAUAUUUACAUAAUACACGAACUACUUGCUAAUGAUUAUAUAGACUCCAAUCCCAAUCCCUCAGGUGGCUUCUGCCCUGGCGAUGCACUCAAACUAGGCAUAGGUGCCAAUGUGCUAAAUGGGCUGCUCAACGUGACUUUGUGUCAACCACCGGUUAUAUCUUCUUCUUCCCUCCUCAACGGUCUCAUUGACCUUGAGGCUGCACUGUCCUUAGAGCAAAUAUUUUGGGCAUCAACCUCAACCUUUCCAUCUCACGCAGCUCACUUCUCAAUGCUUGCUCAAGGCAAGUCCCAUGUGAUUUCCAUUGUGCCUAAUUACCCAACAUAUCAUAUAUAUCAUCGUACCUACUUUUGCUUUGUGUUUUCCAGUUGUGACUUUCCUUUCUUUUUUUUUUUUCAAAUUCCAUGUGUGGUUCUUGUACGUGCAUGGAGGGUUAGCUUCUCGUUAUUCCUUCCUUUCAGUGUUUUUGUAGUUAUCUGGUAAGAGUGACGCGAUAUAUAUUAUAUAUAGAAGCUCUCGAUGGUUGCUUGUGUAAAUCGCAAUGUACAAAAGUUGAUGAACUAGUCUGUUAUUUAUAAAAAGAAAACCAAACACAAGCGCUUGCAAAUGACCUCGUUAUUAAUGCUUCUAUUAUAUAUAUAUAUAUAUAAAGAGAUCAAAUAUCAAUAUAGUUUUGACCAACUAUUAUCUCAUUUAAUAACUUUCAAUUAAUUAAUAUUUUUGUUAAAACUCGUUAUUUGAUUAAAAAUUCAUUUCACAUGAAUUAAAUAUAUAAAAUUUUAUAUUAAUAUAAAAUUAUUUGUUAUCUUAUUAUUCAUAUAAACUAAAAUUGAUGUAAUAAAAAAAAUUAAAAUAUAUUAAAUUAUAAAUCAUUUGAUUAUUUUUUUAUUAUUGUUUAAUUUUAAUAAAAUUUAACACAUAUAAUAUAUAUUGAUAAUAUGUAAAUAUAAUUUAAUGAUCAAAUAAGUAAAAUUCACAAUUUUUUAUCAAAUUAUAGAAUAAUAAAAUAUUAAAUUAUAUUAAUAUAAUUUCAUCUAAUACAUAUUAAUUGUAUUUCAUGUGUAAAGAAUUUAGUAUUUUUUUAAUUGCAAUUAGUCUUGUAUAGUUUAAUGAUAUUUUUACCAGUGACUUGGUUUUCAUAUUGUUUUCCGUUAAGGCAUUAAUGGUCAUUUUCAUAAACAUUGGAUUUGGUAAAAGUCGAAAGGAUAAGACGAUUUUGCCAUAUGCUUAACUUGGCACUCUAUGGCUUGGCCUUUAUGGCUAAUAAGUAACACAUUUGUUUUUAAAAAUGUAUCAUUUGGCUUGAUCUCUUUGUUGGAUUUGAUUGAAUACUAAUCUUGGUCGUGGCAUAUAAGAAUAUGAUUUGUCCACCACUCGUAUAAUGACAUACAAACUAGCCUAGUUUUAAGCCACAACUUCUAACUUUGCAUCAUAUUCGGUUUCUAUGUAACCAAAUACACCAUAUGAUGCAAAGCCACAAAAUCUUCCAGCACUCUAUGCAUUUCUUUCCAUUUGCCAAUCCUAAAUUCGAUAUAAAAAAAUGUUGUAUUCCAUUAUUUGGUAGAACCGUAUUCACAUCUAACUACUGGUACCAAGUAGUCUCUUUUGAAAUGGGGAGAUUAUUAAAGUUAAACUCUUUUAGAAUGGAAAUAAAAGUCUAAUUAUGUUUAAAAAGUUUUAGAGUUUAAUAUUUUUUCAUAUAUAUUUUCUUAAUGAAAAUUAUUACACUGUUAAUUUGUUAUAAUUUUUAAAAUAAUUAUUACAUUAGAUAUAAUUUUUAAAAUAAUUAUUGUAAAUUAAAGCUAACAAUUUUACUGUACACAAAAAUUUAUAAUUGUGUGAUAAAACAAAUAUAAGUAUAUUUUUAAAGCAAAAUAUAAGUAUAUUCUAAUUAAAUACUAUUAACAUUUGCUAAGGCUAAUAAUUUGAAAACUUUGCAUAAUAUUUUGUUUUUGUUUUUGACAAUCGUGUAAUAUAAAAUUGGUUAAUGUGACUUCACGCCCCACCCCCAAAUUAUGAAGAUUUCACGAGCCAAAAACGCGUGGAAAACUUAGAUUUGAUUUUGAUAUUAAUUGGACAUCACAGAUUAAGUCAAUAAUUGCGGACUUGUUCACAAAGGAAUGUCUAAACGAAACUCUUUUUAAAAUGAAAAAAAACGUAGUACAACGUUCUUCAUUGGCUUAUGGGCCUUUGCUUGUUAGGCUUCUAGCUAUUAUAAGCUCCUAGUUGCAUGCUUCCUGUCGAAAAUUGAUCAUAUUUACAUAAUUGUUUUUUUUUUAACUUAAUACUUUCGUCGUGCAGUGACGACUGAUCCACGUAUCAACGAGAGGAUGCACUUCCAACCCUUCGCUUUUUUGGAAAACACACACACACAUAUAUUUUUUAAAAUAUGUAUAUUUUAUCUUCUUAAUUUUAUAUAUUUGAAUCAUCUAUCCUUAAUUUUAUUAGUAUUUUCAUAAAAUAUUUUAAACAUAAAUUUAAAUAAUAUAAGUACAUACACACUAAUUUACCCUUUGUUCCUUUUUCAAUCCUUAAAAUUUUAAGGCGCAAAUGAAUAAAACAACAAAAAGAUAAGAUAUGUAUUGAAAUUAUACAUAUGGUUCCACCUUAUUUCUGGUUACGGUACCCAGUUUAAUUACAUAAUAUAUUGCUUAUCAUGAAAGAAACGGGAAAAAGGAAACAACUAACAAAAACCAAAUUAUAUAUAUAUAUAUAUAUAUAUAUAUAUAUAUAUAUAUAUAUAUAUAUAUAUAUAUAUAUAUAUAUAUAUAUAUAUAUAUAUGAAAUAUAUAUAUAUAUACACAUAUAUGAAACCAUCAAAUCACAUAGAUUAUAGUUGAAAAUAUCAUUUUUAAUCAAUAGGAAAGGUAAAAGUCUCACUAUUUACGGGAAAUAAAAGAAUUAACUACGACGAAAUUGAUAUUUUUUUUCAAAUUACCUUUCUAAGCCUUUUCAAUCGGUAAAAUAUUUUCUUUAAUUUAUUACACGUAUUUUUUUUUUUACUUUGAGAAAAAAUAAUUUUUUUGGUUUUAUAUUAUUUUGAAAUACUUUUCAUUAAAUAAACAUAUAUAUAACCAAAAAAUAUUAAAAAAUAAUAACUAUUGAGGUAAAUUUAUUAUAAAUUUAACUAACCUAAAUAACUAAUAAUCAUUAUUCACUUCUUAUUUUUGAACAAAAUAUCUACUAUUUACUAUUUAUAGUUUAAUUAUAAGAAUAUAACUUAUAAACACUGUACCUUAAAGUAUUUUUUAUAUUAAUUUUUAAUCAAGGUUUUAUUUUGAUAACCAACUCCAACUUAAUUAAUUAUAACUUAUAUUACGUGGAUUAUGGAAAUAAAAUUUAACUAUUAAUCAUUGCCUUCAUUUUAAAAUAAGUGUCACAUUUAAUUAUUUAAUGUAACAUUAAUUGUUUUUUUUUAUUAUUUCUAAUAAAUAUCACUUUAAUUUUUUAGUCUAAUAUUAAUAUUAUUUUUUAUCUAUUUAAUAAUAUUAUACUCUAUUUUAUUUAUUAAUUAACUUUUUUAUAUGUAUAAAAUAUUAUACAACCACACUUAUUUUCGGACUAGGGAGUAAAAAAAACAUUUAAGAAACAAGAUAGUAAGUUUUCUUCAAAUUCAUAAUUAAUAGCUAUCAGCCAAUUAGCUAGUGGUAGUGUGAGGAUAAGAUUGAAAAUGUAAUAAUAGCUAUUAGCCUAUUAGCUAGCGGUAAUGUGGGGAUCUGAUAGGCUGUCGGGAUACACACUUUUUUUUUAGAAGUUAUUCAAAUUUAAAAGAAGAUAGUUUUUUUUUAAAGACGUAUACGAGAAUAAAUUCUAAUUUUUACUAAUAAUUAUAAUUUAUUAGUUAAAUUCAAUGUUUAUAUAUACAAUUUUAAAAUAAUUUUUUUACUAUUAACGAGCUAAAACUAUUUUUCAUAUGACUUUUAAAAUAGUUAUUACAACAAUUUUAUCACAAAUAACAUUAUACAUCAAUAACUAAUAAGUGGUAAUGUUACAAAUUCCUGAAUAAGAUGACCCGGCCGGCCCGGAAAAAAACAAAAUUAGUCGAGAUUUUUAACAAGAUAUUUUUAUCAUCGAAAGUUAUAUACUAUCUUUUAAAGAAGUAGAAUAUGAAUUAAAGAAAAGCUUUUUUUGACACAUGUAUUAUUCUAUUCGCAUAGCUAAGGAUUGAAACACUAAUAUAUGUUUAAAGAGCUCAAAUUAUUUGCUACUUGUGUAAUAUCUUGUAGGGGUUGGAAAUUUUUUUAUUUGAAUCAUAUGUAUAAAAAAGUGCAUUUCAAUUUGAUGUCAACCAACACGUACUUUGUUCGAAACAGGCUGCAGGAAGAAUAGUCAUCAUCCUCAAAUUUUAGCUAUUUUAUUUAUUAAAAGUUUAAAUACAACCAAAUUAAUCACAUCUCGGAAGGAACUGUAAGGGAGAGUGUGUACUGUGCAGUCAAUUUCCAACCACAAUAAGCAAUACUUAUAAUAGGACCCAGUGACCCAUUAUUUCACAUGCAGAACCUUAUGUACUCUCAGAUCCACCGAUUGAUGGCGGUUCCUGCAUGCAUCACAAGUCACAAGCAUAUAAUACCUAAUUUAAGGUUUUUCCCCGCCAGCUAAAAUUCUCAUGUUCACUCAUGGUCAUUUCAUUAACAUACUAUUUAUUUAUUUUUUUGUAAAAAAAUUCAAGUGUUGAAUAUUAAUUUUGAGGUACUGAAUAUAUAAGUUUUAAUUAAAAAAAAUUAUGUUUUGGUUUGGGUAAUUGGCUCGAUUCAGUUUCGGUUGAUCUAGCAUGAUAUUAUUCCAUUUGGAUAUCUCGGAUAGUAACCCAAAUUUUAUGUUUGGUGAGACUUAUAAGCUAUUGUCUUUUUUUUUUCUUCUCAAUUUUAUGCUUAUUUUUUAUUUAAAAUUUAGUUUUAUCUUUUUAUUCAAUUUAAAAACUUUCUUAUUUUCUUUAUUGUCCGGACAAAUUCUCGUAUUUAAUUUAAUGUUCUUACAUGCUUACAACAAACAUAAUAAUCAAUCCCUCAAUUGUCAUUGUUACAUCAUUCUUUAAUAUUAGAUUUUUUUAAAAUUAUUUCAAUUUUAUAAUUAUUUACUAUUUUUUUUAUUUUAUAAUUACCUAUUUUGAUCCUUUGCAUUAUUUUUUAUUUUAUUGAUUUAAUUUGUUAAGGCAAAAAUAUAUCCUACUUUUCAAGAUGAUUAAUUAUUAAAAAUAAAAUUCAAAUAUUAAAAAUAUUAAUAUAUUAUUUGAUAUUUAUUAGAUAAUUUUAUUAAAUACUUUCUUAAUUAGCUAGCUUAUAAACUUAUAACUUUAUAGCUUAUAAACUUCCAACCAAUUUAUAAGUCAAUUUUUACGAGACAUAGCUAAAUUGAUCCAAACUGAAAAAAAAAAAAAACACACUAGUUUGGGUUGCUAGUAAAAUAAAAUAAAAUAAGACAACUGAAGCUAUCUAACUCAGUACUUAAUAAUUGAAUUGUCGAUUAAUUUAAGUUUGUAUAUUUUACCUAUAUACGUACAUAAUACACCAACUACUUGCUAAUAUUUUAAUAGAGUCGUCAUCAUAUUCUCAUUGACACUUCCAAACACCAUGAGCACUAUAUAAACCCCCCAUCCACACCAAAUUACUCCCAUCUUCACUUACACUCUUCUUUUAAGCUCUAGCAGUUAACUAACAAUAUUAGCAUUUGCUAGUGAUUAGGAAUAUAAAGAUACGCCAACCACAAACAGUUUAAGAUGGCCUCCAAAACAUGUUCAUCCCUUGCUCUUUUCCUCACACUCAACCUCCUCUUCUUUUCACUUGUCUCUGCAUGCGGUAGUUAUUCAUGCCCUAGUCCAAAGCCAAAGCCAAAGCCCAAGCCAAAGCCCAACCCUAACCCUAGUCCUUCUGGUGCAUCGUGCCCCCGUGACGCACUCAAGCUAGGUGUAUGUGCCAACGUGCUAAAAGGGUUGUUGAACGUGACUUUGGGUCAACCACCAGUUACCCCUUGCUGCACCCUUCUCGAUGGGCUCGUUGACCUUGAGGCUGCAGUGUGCCUUUGCACUGCCCUCAAAGCAAAUGUUUUGGGCAUCAACCUCAACCUUCCUAUCUCACUCAGCUUGCUUCUCAAUGUUUGCUCAAGGCAAGUCCCACGCGAUUUUCAAUGUGCCUAAUCAUGGCCUAUACACAACAUAUCAUAUAUAUCUAACGUGUUUGGAAACUCGUUGAGGAUGGAGAAAUC